rnacentral:rRNA from 1 species
UUCGGAUUGCAGGCUGAAACCGCCUGCAUGAAGUUGGAAUCGCUAGUAAUCGCGGAUCAGCAUGCCGCGGUGAAUACGUUCCCGGGCCUUGUACACACCGCCCGUCACACCAUGAGAGUCGGGAACACCCGAAGUCCGUAGUCUAACCGCAAGGGGACGCGGCCGAAGGUGGGUUCGAUAAUUGGGGUGAAGUCGUAACAAGGUAAC